rnacentral:rRNA from 1 species
AGCAGCCGCGGUAAUUCCAGCUUCAAUAGCGUAUAUUAAAGUUGUUGCAGUUAAAAAGCUCGUAGUUGAAUUUCGGGAUCGGCGGGUCGGUCGCGCCAUCGGUGUGUACUGGUCCAGUCGGUUUCUCCCUUCUGACGAACCACGAUGUCAUUAAUUUGGUGUCGCGGGGAAUCAGGACUGUUACUUUGAAAAAUUAGAGUGUUUAAAAGCAGGCAUUAGCUUGAAUACAUUAGCAUGGAAUAAUGAAAUAGGACGUUUGAUCUUAUUUUGUUGGUUUCUAGGAUCGACGUAAUGAUUAAUAGGGAUAGUUGGGGGCAUUAGUAUUCAAUUGUCAGAGGUGAAAUUCUUGGAUUUAUUGAAGACUAACUACUGCGAAAGCAUUUGCCAAGGAUGUUUUCAUUAAUCAAGAACG